UACGGAGGGUGCAAGCGUUAUCCGGAUUUACUGGGUUUAAAGGGUGCGUAGGUGGGUUGGUAAGUCAGUGGUGAAAUACUUUCGCUUAACGAAGGAACUGCCAUUGAUACUACCAGUCUUGAAUACAGUGGAGGUAGGCGGAAUGCGUCAUGUAGCGGUGAAAUGCUUAGAUAUGACGCAGAACACCAAUUGCGAAGGCAGCUUGCUACACUGUUAUUGACACUGAGACGCGAAAGCGUGGGGAGCAAACAGG
rnacentral:rRNA from 1 species